GACGAACGCUGGCGGCGUGCCUAAUACAUGCAAGUCGAGCGCUGAAGGUUGGUACUUGUACCAACUGGAUGAGCAGCGAACGGGAGAGUAACGCGUGGGGACUCUGCCUUUCAGCGGGGGACAAUCAGUGGAAACGAAUGCUAAUACCGCAUAAAAACUUUAAACACAAGUUUUAAGUUUGAAAGACGCAAUUGCAUCACUCAAAGAUGAUCCCGCGUUGUAUUAGCUAGUUGGUGAGGUAAAGGCUCACCAAGGCGAGGUUACAUAGCCGACCUGAGUGGGCGGUCAGCCACACUGGGAGGGUGACACGGCCCAAAGGCCUUGGGGUGGCAGCAGGAGGGCAUCGGCGGGCAUGGGCGAGAGUCUGACCGAGCUGCGCGGCGGGAGUAUGGAGGGUCUUCGGGUCGUAGAACUCUGUUGGUAGGUAAUAACGCGGGUGAGAGUGUAAAGCUCAUCAAGUGACGGUAACUACCCAGAAAGCAACGGCUAACUACGUG
rnacentral:rRNA from 1 species